GAGUCCGUAGCUCAGCCCGGACAGAGCGAUCGGCUUCUAACCGAUCGGCCGAGGGUUCAAAUCCCUCCGGACUCG
rnacentral:tRNA from 1 species